rnacentral:rRNA from 1 species
UCCUGUGAAGGUGAGUCGUAAGGCUUGCUGGAGGUAUCGGAAGUGCGAAUGCUGACAUGAGUAACGAUAAGGGGGGUGAAAAGCCUCCCCGCCGAAAGCCCAAGGUUUCCUCGCGCAACGUUCAUCGGCGCAGGGUGAGUCGGCCCCUAAGGCGAGGCAGAAAUGCGUAGUCGAUGGGAAGCAGGUUAAUAUUCCUGCACUUUUCUACAGUGCGAUGUGGGGACGGAGAAGGUUAGGUCUACCAGGCGUUGUCUGUCCUGGGGAAAGGCGGUAGGCAUGAUUCUUAGGCAAAUCCGGGAAUCUUUAUGCCGAGCACCGAGACGAGUCCUAUGAGGACGAAGUGACUGACACCACGCUUCCAGGAAAAGCCACUAAGCUUCAGCUGUAGAAAAACCGUACCGUAAACCGACACUGGUAGGCAGGGUGAGAAUCCCAAGGCGCUUGAGAGAACUCGGGUGAAGGGACUAGGCAAAAUGGCACCGUAACUUCGGGAGAAGGUGCGCCCUUUGGUGUGGUCACGUGCGUGACUGAGCAUCGAAGGGUCGCAGUAACCUGGCCGCUGCGACUGUUUAUCAAAAACACAGCACUCUGCAAACACGAAAGUGGACGUAUAGGGUGUGACGCCUGCCCGGUGCUGGAAGGUUAAUUGAUGGGGUCAGCCGCAAGGCGAAGCUCUUGAUCGAAGCCCCAGUAAACGGCGGCCGUAACAAUAACGGUCCUAAGGUAGCGAAAUUCCUUGUCGGGUAAGUUCCGACCUGCACGAAUGGCGUAACGACAGCGGCGCUGUCUCCACCCGAGACUCAGUGAAAUUGAAAUCGCUGUGAAGAUGCAGCGUUCCCGCGGCAAGACGGAAAGACCCCGUGAACCUUUACUAUAGCUUUACAUUGAACGUUGAGUUCUUCUGUGUAGGAUAGGUGGGAGGCUAUGAAACCGAGACGCUAGUUUCGGUGGAGCCAUCCUUGAAAUACCACCCUGAAGUGCUUGACGUUCUAACCUAGGUCCGUAAUCCGGAUCGGGGACCAUGUAUGGUGGGUAGUUUGACUGGGGCGGUCUCCUCCCAAAGUAACGGAGGAGCACGAAGGUACGCUCAGCGCGGUCGGACAUCGCGCACUGUGUGCAAAGGCAUAAGCGUGCUUGACUGCGAGAUCGACGGAUCAAGCAGGUACGAAAGUAGGUCUUAGUGAUCCGGUGGUUCUGUAUGGAAGGGCCAUCGCUCAACGGAUAAAAGGUACUCCGGGGAUAACAGGCUGAUACCGCCCAAGAGUUCAUAUCGACGGCGGUGUUUGGCACCUCGAUGUCGGCUCAUCACAUCCUGGGGCUGUAGCCGGUCCCAAGGGUAUGGCUGUUCGCCAUUUAAAGUGGUACGCGAGCUGGGUUCAGAACGUCGUGAGACAGUUCGGUCCCUAUCUGUCGUGGGCGUUGGAGAUUUGAGGGGGGCUGCUCCUAGUACGAGAGGACCGGAGUGGACGUUCCGCUGGUGUUCGGGUUGUCAUGCCCAUGGCAUUGCCCGGUAGCUACGAACGGAAGUGAUAACCGCUGAAAGCAUCUAAGCGGGAAGCACGCCCCAAGAUGAGAUCUCCCGAGAGCUAGACUCUCCUUAAGGCACCAUCAAGACUAGGUGGUUGAUAGGCACGGUGUGGAAGUGCAGCAAUGCAUUGAGCUUACGUGUACUAAUGAGCCGUGAGGCUUGACC